GAGUUUGAUCAUGGCUCAGGAUGAACGCUGGCGGCGUGCCUAAUACAUGCAAGUCGAACGAACAGAUAAGGAGCUUGCUCCUUUGACGUUAGCGGCGGACGGGUGAGUAACACGUGGGUAACCUACCUAUAAGACUGGAAUAACUCCGGGAAACCGGGGCUGAUGCCGGAUAACAUGUUGAACCGCAUGGUUCUACAGUGAAAGACGGUCUUGCUGUCACUUAUAGAUGGACCCGCGCCGUAUUAGCUAGUUGGUGGGGUAACGGCCUACCAAGGCGACGAUACGUAGCCGACCUGAGAGGGUGAUCGGCCACACUGGAACUGAGACACGGUCCAGACUCCGUACGGGAGGCAGCAGUAGGGAAUCUUCCGCAAUGGGCGAAAGCCUGACGGAGCAACGCCGCGUGAGUGAUGAAGGUCUUCGGAUCGUAAAGCUCUGUUGUUAGGGAAGAACAAAUGUGUAAGUAACUGUGCAUAUCUUGACGGUACCUAACCAGAAAGCCACGGCUAACUACGUGCCAGCCGCCGACCCG
rnacentral:rRNA from 1 species